rnacentral:misc_RNA from 1 species
CUAACUCAGCGGGUAUUCCUACCUGAUCCGAGGUCAACAUUCAGAAGUUGGGGUUUAACGGCUUCGGCCGCGACGAUUACCAGUAACGAGGUGUAUGAUUACUACGCUAUGGAAGCUCGACGUGACCGCCAAUCGAUUUGGGGAACGCGGGUUACCGCGAGUCCCAACACCAAGCUGAGCUUGAGGGUUCAAAGGAGGGUCGAACAGGGAUGCCCGCCGGAAUACUGCGAAACCAAUGAG